UACGUAGGGCGCAAGCGUUGUCCGGAAUCAUUGGGCGUAAAGAGCUCGUAGGCGGCUUUGUAAGUUAGAGGUGAAAGCCCGGGGCUCAACUCCGGAAUUGCCUUUAAGACUGCAUCGCUAGAAUUGUGGAGAGGUAAGUGGAAUUCCGAGUGUAGAGGUGAAAUUCGUAGAUAUUCGGAAGAACACCAGUGGCGAAGGCGACUUACUGGACACAUAUUGACGCUGAGGUGCGAAAGCGUGGGGAGCAAACAGG
rnacentral:rRNA from 1 species